GAUGUACAACAUACACUGUGUGCACCAAUACGGGAUGACGUUGAGAUUCGGAGAUACAGAUAGGUGGAAAAAUGAUGACCAAAAAAUGAAGAGCUCAAAUGAUAAGGUAUUAAGAAGAUAAGCAUGAUGAUAACUAUUUCGUAGAAAAUUGAACAACGAUCUAG
ensembl:snoRNA F17C11.24 ncRNA